rnacentral:rRNA from 1 species
CCUACGGGAGGCAGCAGUGGGGAAUAGUGGGCAAUGGGCGCAAGCCGGACCCAGCAACGCCGCGUGAAGGAAGAAGGCUUUCGGGUUGUAAACUUCUUUUGUCAGGGAAGAGGAGAAGACGGUACCUGACGAAUAAGCCAUGGCUAACUACGGGCCAGCAGCCGCGGUAAUACGUAGGUGGCAAGCGUUGUCCGGAUUUACUGGGUGUAAAGGGCGUGUAGCCGGGUUGACAAGUCAGAUGUGAAAUCCUGCGGCUUAACCGCAGAACUGCAUUUGAAACUGUUGGUCUUGAGUACUGGAGAGGCAGGCGGAAUUCCUAGUGUAGCGGUGAAAUGCGUAGAUAUUAGGAGGAACACCAGUGGCGAAGGCGGUCUGCUGGACAGCAACUGACGGUGAGGCGCGAAAGCGUGGGGAGCAAACAGGAUUAGAUACCCCAGUAGUC